AUCCAUCUUCUUUAACAUUAUCUACUUUUAUUUAACCAAACCGUUUCAAAUAAAUUUUUCCCACCGAUUGGUGUUCUGUUGCCUAUAAUAAAUUACAUUUUUUCCUAUUGCUACGUUGCUGUGAAUUGAUGCUCUAACAUUUUCAGGUUUCCCUAUUAAAAAAAAAAAAAAAACUGACAUUCAUAAAUGCCUCUCACUAUUAUUGAGAUCGCCAAAGAGGGGCAGCGAGAGUCAGACUAUCAGAGAGGGAGAGAAAAAUCCAUUGUUAGACCAAUCUUUCUCCAAAAUAUUACAGGUAUUGAGUUUCUGGUUUGCAAUGUUUAUAGGAACACAGAUUUGGGAAAAUCAAAGCUUCAGCUUUACCAGUUGUGGUACAAAAUAAUAAACCGAAAGAGGAACUGCCACCAAGGAAUGAAUAUCAAAACCUUCAUUUGUAUCUAAGAGAAAGAUCCAUGAGGAAGAAGCUUAACUAAAGGAUUGAGCUCUUUCAUGUCACAUGCAAUCACAGUGUAGACCCAUGUAUCUAUGUGGAUUGGAUCAAAGUGCCAGUGAAGGUGAAACUUUUGUAGUGGAUUCGAAUUGCAAAGAGCCCAAGUGUAGCUUAGGUUGUAUGCAAGGUUUGUUGCAAGAGGAUAUAUUAGUUCCUAAAGCUAGCAAAAGUGCUUUUGGCUCUCAGUAAAUUUCUGUUGUAUCUAUAGCAAUUCAAUAUCUUAAAUUUUGCCUUUAAAAACCAGGCUUUUCCAAGUGGCGCAUAGAAUUGAAAGACUUUCUACAUUCUUUUAGCCAGUAAGACUUUCCUAUUAAGUGCCACAUUAGCUUACUCUCUUCAACCUAUAUUUUAGCAUGCCUGAACUGCUACACAAUCUCUUCUAACCUCUUGACAUUUGCUAUUUCUGUCUCCACUCUUUCCCAUACAUUUGAUCAUUUUGCUAUGAACUCAUUUGGCCUUAACUAUAGGGUUUGUCUUGGGUGAUAAUAUUUAGGUUCUAUUAAACCAUUUCUUUUGUUUAUUUUUCCAUAAGGAUUAUGUCAGUAAGAACAAAUGACUAUAUUUUCCAAGUGUUUAUUUUUCCAAUAAGUAUUUUAUUUUGUAAUUCUCAUUUGAUCCGUUUUCCUUUGUUUCUAUACAAAUAA